GACGAACGCUGGCGGCGUGCUUAACACAUGCAAGUCGUACGGUAAGGCCCCUUCGGGGGUAUACGAGUGGCGCAAGGGAGUGUAAAACGCGAGUAAAAUGCCCUCAACUUUGGGAUAAAACUAGGAAAAAGGUGUGAAAAUUGGAUAUGUGCUCCUGUGCUACGGGGGGGGUGGGGAAGAGCCGGCGGUUGUGGAGGGACUCGCGGCGUAUCAGCUUGUUGGUGGGGUAGUGGCGUACCAAGGCGGCGACGGGUAGCCGGCCUGAGAGGGUGACCGGCCACAUUGGGACUGAGAUACGGCCCAGACUCCUACGGGAGGCAGCAGUGGGGAAUAUUGCACAAUGGGCGGAAGCCUGAUGCAGCAACGCCGCGUGCGGGAUGACGGCCUUCGGGUUGUAAACCGCUUUCAGCAGGGACGAAGCUUUGUGUGACGGUACCUGCAAAAGAAGCACCGGCUAACUACGUG
rnacentral:rRNA from 1 species